rnacentral:rRNA from 1 species
UACGGAGGGUGCGAGCGUUGUCCGGAAUCAUUGGGCGUAAAGAGCGUGUAGGCGGUUCGGUAAGUCGGCUGUGAAAGUCCAGGGCUCAACCCUGGGAUGCCGGUCGAUACUGCCGGACUAGAGUUCGGAAGAGGCGAGUGGAAUUCCCGGUGUAGCGGUGAAAUGCGCAGAUAUCGGGAGGAACACCUAUGGCGAAGGCAGCUCGCUGGGACGUUACUGACGCUGAGACGCGAAAGCGUGGGGAGCGAACAGG